CAGAGGUGGCUGAGCGGCCUAAAGCGAUAGACUGAUAAUCUGUUAGCCGGUAACACGGCUCGGGGGUUCGAAUCCCCUCCUCCCC
rnacentral:tRNA from 1 species